UACAGAGGUCCCAAGCGUUUUUCGGAUUCACUGGGCGUAAAGGGUGCGUAGGUGGCAAGGUAAGUUCGAUGUGAAAUCCCCGGGCUCAACCCGGGAACUGCAUUGAAUACUCUCUUGCUCGAGGGUCGGAGGGGAGACUGGAAUUCUCGGUGUAGCAGUGAAAUGCGUAGAUAUCGAGAGGAACACCAGUGGCGAAGGCGAGUCUCUGGACGACACCUGACACUGAGGCACGAAAGCUAGGGGAGCAAACAGG
rnacentral:rRNA from 1 species